AAUCAACGCUGGCGGCGCGCUUAACACAUGCAAGUCGCACGAGAAAGGGAGCAAUCCUGAGUAAAGUGGCGUACGGGUGAGUAACACGUGGGAAUCUACCUCUUGGCGGGGAAUAACCCUGGGAAACCGGGGCUAAUACCGCAUAAGCUCGUGAGAGGAAAGCAGCAAUGCACCGAGAGAGGAGCCCGCGGCCGAUUAGCUAGUUGGUGGGGUAAUGGCUCACCAUGGCGAAGAUCGGUAGCCGGCCUGAGAGGGCACACGGCCACACUGGCACUGAAACACGGGCCAGACUCCUACGGGAGGCAGCAGUGGGGAAUCUUGCACAAUGGGGGAAACCCUGAUGCAGCGACGCCGCGUGAGCGAUGAAGCCCUUCGGGGUGUAAAGCUCUUUCGACAGGAACGAUAAUGACGGUACCUGGAGAAGAAGCUGCGGCUAACUACGUG
rnacentral:rRNA from 1 species